rnacentral:lncRNA from 10 species
UUUAUUUUAUUUAUUUUAUUUUACUUAUUUUAUUAUGAGACAGGCUCUCAUUCUGUCACUCAGGCUGGAGUGCAGUGGUGCGAUCGUGGCUCACUGAAGCCUCAAACUCCUGGGCUCCCUCGAUCCUACUGCCUCAGUCUCCCAAGUCACUGGGAUUGAGUUAGCUUUCAUUUAAGACACAAACUUAAACAUUAUUCUUGAGUUUUCUCUCUCAGACCCACCAUCAGUCCACUGGGGUCCAGCAAGCCUCACGUCCUGCAGGCGUCCCCAGCUGAACUCCCCCUCUCCCCUCUCCCCCGGUCCCAGUUGCUUGUCCCCUCCCCCUCCUCCAACUGCCCUCCCGGCCACACCCCACAUUUCCUGGACCAACCCAAGUGAUCCUUAAAAAGAUGGCAUCAUUUACAUCAUGCCACUCCCUUUCUCAAAAUUCUUCACCAUCUUUUCUUCCAACUAGGAGCUCAAACCCAAAUCCCGAAACAAGCACGCCCCAGGUUUUCAAACCCAAAUCCCUAAACAAGCACGCCCCAGGUUUUCAAAGCCACGUUGGCAUUUUCAGCGGCAAACUCCCCCACCCAACACCCACCAUUCUGCUUGGGUUGUCAGAAAAUUGGCCAAAAUCUCUUAUUCAUUCUACUAUUUUAAAAUUCCUAUGUUCACCGUGAUAUGAUCUAAAAAUGCAGAUUAUAUCCAUUUUCCUUGUUGUUUUCCUUCCAAUCCUUUUGCUUCUUUUUCUCACCUUGUCCUUCCGGGAGCCCCUGCAGCUGACGCUGAUGUCGGAGUCUCGGGUGUUCCUUCUGGUCUCGCUCCCGACUUGAGGAGGCAGAUUUCAACAUGGAGCAGCAGGACUGGAAAGAUGGCUCCUAUCUAUUCCAAAUAACUCCAAUAUCGCCUCAAGUGAAGAGGAAAGCCUCAUAUUUCAAGGCCACUGACUGGAACCCAUUCACAUGCCACAGGGAGACGGAUGCCGUUGUUUUUUUUACGGCAAAGGAAACAGUGAUGUAUUGGAGUCUCAUCACCCCGUCUCUCCAUCAUCACAAGCCAGUCUGGCUUGUGUAGCACGAUUAAAAUGUUAUGUCUCCCAGUGAGCUAGUAAAUAUCAACACUUUCUCUCUUUCUGUAUGUGUGUCCCUUUUUAGUGGAUAAAGCCAUUUGUUGACAAAAGUAUGGACAUUCUUAUGGGAUUGUUUUUGGAAAAGGAUAACAUGUAAUUUCAAAUUCAACAUAUGGUAGUGGUCAAAUUGUGUUCCUACUGUGGAAAAUGCUUGAAUAAUAACCUACUGCAUUCUCUUGGCCAGUACACAGAGCACAACUUGAUGAAUUUCACCAGUUUCC